rnacentral:rRNA from 1 species
GACGGAGGAUGCAAGCGUUAUCCGGAAUGAUUGGGCGUAAAGCGUCCGCAGGUGGCAGUUCAAGUCUGCUGUCAAAGACCGGGGCUUAACUUCGGAAAGGCAGUGGAAGCUGAACAGCUAGAGUAUGGUAGGGGCAGAGGGAAUUCCUGGUGUAGCGGUGAAAUGCGUAGAGAUCAGGAAGAACAUCGGUGGCGAAGGCGCUCUGCUGGACCAUAACUGACACUCAGGGACGAAAGCUAGGGGAGCGAACAGG